UUACUUACCUGGACAGGGUCUGCGGGUGAUCAAUAAGACUCAUGGCCUAGACCGAUGGCUCACAUCGCAUGUAGUGAGCAUCUCGGUCUACCAUCUCUUCUUUGUUGAAAAAUGGACGUCAUAAUUAGUGUUAGAGUCAUAGAGGGGUACGCGCUCGCGUGAGCACUAU
rfam:Triticum aestivum genome assembly, contig: Triticum_aestivum_CS42_TGACv1_scaffold_623403_7DS